CCAGACGCAGGGAGAUGGAUGAGCUCGUGAGAGUCACAUCUCUUCCUCAUUCCCCCAUUUGAGAGACGCUUCGGUGGAAACAGAGCCUGGGAACACUUGAUACCAUGCAGAUUUCUUCCUGUUCUUCCUUCAAGCAUUUCAGAUUUUGGGGAGAAGCGACCCACAGGCCCUAUCCUCAGGCAAGACAAAGAUCUGCCACAUGGAGACGAGUGCAGCAUUAAUCAGCUUCAUCGGAAAGGCGGGGAAACGGGGGGAUUCCGGAGAAGAUUUGGAGAAAUGUAGGAAGAAUUCUAUCUCCCCAUUCUCACGUCACUCAGAACAAACCAAUCAACCAUCUUGAAAACUAACUGGAGGCUAUGUGGUACUGGAGCCGCCCCCUCCCUUCUUUUUCUAUCUCUACCUGCCCCCUUUCCACUGACUAUACUCUCUAAAGCAGAGGAGGGGAAAUGCCUGAAGAAUUUUCUUUCUAUCAAAAGCAUCUCCUGGACUUUCUCAACCUCGCCCAGCUUAACCAAGACUCCCCCUGAAGGGAGAGGAUAAAACACCUUGUGCUGAGGUGGACUCCCAUAAGAGCAGUUUUUGGGUUCUGCAGCAUCGCAGCAUCUCCUUUGGUACCUGUUCUCUGUGACCUCCCACUUGCUGUGUGCGUCGCGGGCCCUUUUGAAUUAAAAGCAGCCUCAGCUGUUCGCACAGCUAUUCUUUUUUUAAAAGGCAGAACUGUUCGCUGAAGGUUACAAACAAACAUGCAGUGUGUGUCUGUGUGUGUGUGUGUGUGUGUGUGUGUGUGCAUGCCUUUUGAAAAUUCCCUGGGGGCUUAGUCCUACAGGAAAACACACAUAGAUCACUAAACCCUCCAGUGGUGAACAUUAGUCUUUAUAAUGAAGCACUGAGACAAGCAAAGACAAAAUUUCUCUCUCCCUCUGUUUUAAAGCUCACAACACACAAACACAAUGGGCACUACUUUCAAAGUGCAGCACCAAGCAGAAAGCAUGGGGCUUGGUCACUAUUGUAUGGUAAACAUUUCUGUCACCCAUCUUUAAUUAUGUUUUUUACAGUUUAACCCUCUAAUGCUGUUGCAUAUCAUAUUUGAGACAUGCAUUUCUGCGACCC
rnacentral:lncRNA from 1 species